AUUGAACGCUGGCGGCAGGCCUAACACAUGCAAGUCGAACGAGUGGCGGACGGGUGAGUAAUGCUUGGGAAUCUAGCUUAUGGAGGGGGAUAACUACGGGACACUGUAGCUAAUACCGCGUACCAUAGGAUGAGCCCAAUUGGGAUUAGGUAGUUGGUGUGGUAAAGGCUCACCAAGCCGACGAUCACUAGCUGGUCUGAGAGGAUGACCAGCAACACUGGGACUGAGACACGGCCCAGACUCCUACGGGAGGCAGCAGUGGGGAAUAUUGCGCAAUGGGGGCAAGCUGAAGCAGCCAUGCCGCGUGAAUGAAGAAGGCCUUCGUGUUGUAAAGUUCUUUCGGUAGGGAGGCGUUAUCUACAGAAGAAGCACCGGCUAACUCCGUGCCAGCCGCCGCGGUAAUAC
rnacentral:rRNA from 1 species